CUACGGGUCGCUCCAGUGGGGAAUAUUGCACAAUGGGCGCAAGCCUGAUGCAGCCAUGCCGCGUGUAUGAAGAAGGCCUUCGGGUUGUAAAGUACUUUCAGCGGGGAGGAAGGGAGUAAAGUUAAUACCUUUGCUCAUUGACGUUACCCGCAGAAGAAGCACCGGCUAACUCCGUGCCAGCAGCCGCGGUAAUACGGAGGGUGAAAGCGUUAAUCGGAAUUACUGGGCGUAAAGCGCACGCAGGCGGUUUGUUAAGUCAGAUGUGAAAUCCCCGGGCUCAACCUGGGAACUGCAUCUGAUACUGGCAAGCUUGAGUCUCGUAGAGGGGGGUAGAAUUCCAGGUGUAGCGGUGAAAUGCGUAGAGGUCUGGAGGAAUACCGGUGGCGAAGGCGGCCCCCUGGACGAAGACUGACGCUCAGGUGCGAAAGCGUGGGGAGCAAACAGGAUUAGAUACCCCCGUAGUC
rnacentral:rRNA from 1 species